UACGUAGGGGGCAAGCGUUGUCCGGAUUUAUUGGGCGUAAAGAGCGUGUAGGCGGCCAUGUAGGUCCGUUGUGAAAACUCGAGGCUCAACCUCGAGACGCCGAUGGAAACCAUGUGGCUAGAGUCCGGAAGAGGAGAGUGGAAUUCCUGGUGUAGCGGUGAAAAUGCGCAGAUAUCAGGAAGAACACCCGUGGCUAAGGCGGCUCUCUAG
rnacentral:rRNA from 1 species